CCUAAAGCCACCGCCCCCACCCAAGACUGCACCCCAGUCAACUCUGCCACUGCGCUCAAGAAUAGGCCUCUUUCCGUCAUGGUCACAGGCAAAGGCACUGUCCUCCAGAAAGCCAAGGAAUGGGAGAAGAAAGGAGCAAGUUAGAAACAUCUAAAGACUGUCAGUAUGGACUUUGGUGACAAUCCUGCUUCGGUAAAGUCUUCUUUAAAACAGCAACUCUGAGGAAGGACUUUGGUGGAAGACAGUACAAGGGCCCUUCGGCUUUGAUGACUGAGAAGAACUGAACUCCUGUCAUCUCUUAUCCAAUACCUAGCAGUAUCAGGGAUUAAACCAUCCUUGCCUUCUGGUUUGUUUUCACCAAUCCAUAUUAGACCCAACUGGUAUCUUUGAUGAUUUUGAAGAGCAGUGGCAGCACCUGUGUAAAACCACCUGCAACCUGUUGUGUUUUUAAAGAAACAGUAGCAGGAGAAAUAUUUGGGACCAAGCAGAGACACUGAUCCAAAUAAUGUGUUUUCUUCCCACUCCAAGGCAGGCCUCAGUGAACUGCCUUUAAAUAAAAUGGUAAGUGAUGCUAUAUUAUGUAGACAAAACUUAUUUAAUUGUCUCGUGGUCAGGCCAUUUUUAAGGAAGUUAUUUAAUACAAUGCUCUCAUAGUUCAUGUUGUGAAGUUUCUAAUUUCCAGCCCCUCUGCAGGAAAAAAGUCAUGAAUUUUGGUGAGGGUGGCCUCCCUCUUCUCUGGCAGUGUUAUUCUGUGUGUUGUCCUGUCUCUCGUUGCAAUGGCAUUCUUUGUUAAUACAGGUUGAAACAUUUCAGGGGGUUUGAAUCAGAGUUCUCAAACACUGGUUCCUGAGAGCUAAGUCUUUUUUAUUCAUAUUGUCUUUCUAAUUAAUCCCAGG
rnacentral:lncRNA from 1 species